GCACCCAGUGAUUAUAAAAAGACGCGUUAUUCUGAGGAAUUCUACUGGGUGUCAGUUUUCUACCUUUUUCUACUCUUUACUUUUCCUCCUUUUUUUUCUUCUCCUCUCUUCUCCUCUGUUCUGAAACUUGACAGCUGGUCCACUGACUGCAGUUAUGAAAAAUGAGGGUGC
ensembl:snoRNA SNORD97 small nucleolar RNA, C/D box 97